UCCUUUCUUUCCGGCCGUCAGCAAACCCCGUUCGCCUUCGGACCUGGCCCCAGACUCACACGUACUGUGGUGGAACUCCCCGGGGCUCACCUGUCCAGAGUACAGCAGGUCUUGGUGAUUAAUUGAACAUGUGGGUGGUAAGAGAGAGGGAAACGUCCUGGAUGGAGCCCAAGGUUCUGCCUUGGAUGACGGAGUGAUACCAUUUGUCCAGAUCGGUACUGUCGGAGAAUUGCCAUCUUUAAGCAAUCACCUCGUCAUAUAAAUCAGAAAAAAAAGAGAGAAGUUAACCUAAUUCAAACCAUGGUCCAAGGAUAAAUAGAAAUCAUCAUGGAUGCAGAGGGAAGUAAAAUGAAUUAUUUAAUAAUUACGCAACAGUUGCAUGUCAAAACUCACAACCAAUUGAAACUGCUUGGUGUUUUUUUGGUUUUUGUGUGUUUUUUUUUUUUAAGAAAACUGGGAAAAUGAUUAGUCAAAGCAAUGUGUAUGU